AAGUACAACGGGGCUAAGCUUAAUACCGAAUUUUUGGAUUUAAGAUUUAAUAAUUUUAAGUGGUAGACAAAUGUUGUAUAAGGGUUGAAGUUUGAACGAGAGUAUAAAUGGACUUUAUACAAGUAAGAAUUCCGGCGUAAGUAACGAAUGAAAGUGAGAAUCUUUCUAGCCGAUUGAUCAAGGUUUCCGGGGCUAGGUUCGUCCUCCUCGGGUUAGUCGAUCCUAAGGUGAGGCCGAAAGGCGUAGCCGAUGGACAACAGGUUAAUAUUCCUGUACUACCUUAGAUUGUCAACGGGCGGACAAAAGAGGUUAAAGUAAAAGGAUUAUUGGACUUCCUUCUAAGUUUCGAAGCAAGUCGAGGCUGAAAAUCACCUCGACAUUAAUUGCAAGAAACGAAUGCUAUUUUUGGUAGGGAUAUCAGGAAGAAUUACUACCAAUCUCUUUUCGCGAAAAAACUCUAGACUUAAAUCUAAGGUAUUCGUACCGAAACCGAACACACGUGAUCAAGGAGAAUAUCCUAAGGCUAGCGAGCUAACUACAGUUAAGGAACUCUGCAAAUUAACUCUGUAACUUAGGGAGAAAGAGUGCCCCAGAAGGAAUCUGGGGCCACAGUAAAGAACGAGGGCGAACUGUUUAACAAAAACACAGCUAUAUGCAAAAUUCGAAUAUGAAGUAUAUGUGGCGACACCUGCCCGGUGCCAGAAGGUCAAAGAAGGUUGUUA
rnacentral:rRNA from 1 species